rnacentral:tmRNA from 1 species
GGGGGCGAAACGGCUUCGACGGGGAUAAAGAAGUCCAGGUUGCAUACCGAGCGCCUGUCAGCUCGUAAAAGAGACGGGAAAUAAACAUAAUCGCAGACGAUUAUAAUUACGCAUUGGCCGCUUAGGGCCAACGUCCUGUCCUGUUUUUCCUGCGGAUAAGAUAAGGGCGUCGACUAGUAGGAUAGAUGAUUUGUACCACCUGUUGCAGACCAUCGAAACAAUAACAGGGUAGCCGAAUUAUACAUCUAGCCUGAAGGAGGUAUGAUCCGGCGAAAUAUAAAGUUCAGGAAAAGUAUGUAGACGCCUGUGCGGAAGAUUUUCGGACGCGGGUUCAACUCCCGCCGCCUCCACCA